rnacentral:rRNA from 1 species
AGUGACUAUAAGUUAAACGGCCGCGGUAUUUUGACCGUGCAAAGGUAGCGCAAUCACUUGUCUUUUAAAUGAAGACCUGUAUGAAUGGUGGAACGAGGGCUUGACUGUCUCCCUCAUCUAGUCAAUGAAAUUGAUCUACCCGUGCAGAAGCGGGUAUUAUAAUACAAGACGAGAAGACCCUUUGGAGCUUAAGACAAAAGACCAACUAUGUCAAGAGUACUAAAAAUGAAACUAAACCCAAUAACACUGGUCCCAGUCUUCGGUUGGGGUGACCGCGGGAGAAAAUUAAGCUCCCAUGUGGACUGGGGCAACCCCCCAAAACUAAGAAAGACAUCUCUAAGGCACAGAACAUCUGACCAUAAAGAUCCGGCUAUGCGCCGACCAACGGACCAAGUUACCCUAGGGAUAACAGCGCAAUCCCCUUCCAGAGUCCC